GACACAGGCAGACAUUGGCCUGAGGAAGGCACCGCCCAGGAACGCCAGGGGCCACCAGGCGCUGGAGGAGGCAGGAAGGAUCCUCUCCAGGAGCGCAGCCCUGCCCAAACCUUGGUUUUGGAUUUCUGCUUCCAGAACAGUGAGACAAUGCGUCUCCAGGCCUUGAAGACCGCCCAGUCUGUGACACUUUGUUAGCCCCCGGGAAACCCUCACACUUGGCCACCGGAAACUCCGCUUCCGUGGGGUUGGAGCAGGACCUCUGGUCAAGCAUUCCAAUGACCUCGUCCAGGCAGAACCAGCUCCUGAGUGGCUUUUUCCUGGCUCCAGGAGAGAUAGACGUCAGCCCCUUACAGCCCCGUGCCCUCCAUCAGAUUCCAUCGCUCCCUCCCAACUGUGAGAUCCAGUCAAGGUCACCAGUCUUCAUCAACGGAAGCCUGUUAAGACCCAUUCACCUGAGUGUGGAGGAGGUGCCCUUGGAGAGAGGAGCAGAGCCCUCAGGAUCUUGGAUGGCCGGGAGCAGGCCUGGCCUGGCCCCCCAGACACCGCGCUGCCUCUGAGGUGUGGGCUCCAGGGCCCCCGUGUUCAGGCUCCACCUGGGAGCCCACGGCUCUGACUGCGGGCCCUGAGGGGGAGGAAGGGUCUGGAAAGCUGGAUGGCUGCGGGGAAUUUCCCAGGGUGUCACCCUCUAGGGUGUUUUCACCCCGCUCGUUAGCAGAGCCUCCAAGGUCUGAGUGGGGCCAGCUCCAUGUUCUCCCUUGAAAUGACGUAUUUGAGGAGGGGACCUUGCUGGGGCAGUGGGGGCCUAACCACCCCCACACAAUCGUCCCCCCAGUUUGCUCCCGGAAAGGGGCUGCACUCACGUGAAUGCCAGGGCCAGCCCUCCUUCCUGUUUUCUCCCUCUGGGAUUAUUCAAAGACAUGAGACCCCCAGUUAUCGCUGGAGUCGGCCCCGGGCACCUGCCAGGGGGCCGGCUGGGUGCUUAUGUGAUGCCCCGACCGGGCACCAUGCCUCCCAGCCCUCCUCCAGGCAGCACCGACUCCCCAGACCUCACCCUCUGAGGUCUCUCGGCCCCCAUGCUUCUGCACUUUUCCGUGGUUCCAGUCCAUUUGGCACUAUUCUCCCAGGAUUUGAGGUUUCCCCUAUGGGACUGUUAGCCUCACAGGAAGAAAAGCAGCUUGGCUUCCUACCAAGCACCGAUUCAGGCAGCGUGGAGAGAGGCUGAGUAAGGGGAUACGGGCUCAGACACACCUGAGUCCAAAUCUGAUUCAGCCCCUCAGCCAUGGGAGCCCCUGUUUUCAUCUUAGAGCAGAUGACGCCCCACUGUUCCCCAGAACCCCUUCCCGGCCUCUUUGGCGUUCAGUGCCUCCACGUGAAAGAGCGGGCAUGAUGGGCGGAAUGUCUGUGUCAAGGAUCCCGAGAAGUAGGCGUGCCCCUCUCCCAGCCCCGUUGUCCUCUGUCGGCGGGAUGCAGAGGACCCCGAGGCUACCCUGGGCUGGUGGAGCCCCAAGGCUGAAGGAGUUGGGCUCCCUGAUCGCCUAGCUCAAGUGGGUGUCAGUGAGAGAUAAACCUUUGUUGUUACUGACCCAUUAAGCUUUUCGGUCUCUGUGUGACAGCAGCUAGAGCUACGGAAGCACAGGGGUUAAAUAAAGCAUGCACGAGCGCCUAGUCGU